rnacentral:rRNA from 1 species
CCUACGGGAGGCAGCAGUGGGGAAUAGUGGGCAAUGGGCGCAAGCCGGACCCAGCAACGCCGCGUGAAGGAAGAAGGCUUUCGGGUGGUAAACUUCUUUUGUCAGGGACGAAGCAAGUGACGGUACCUGACGAAUAAGCCACGGCUAACUACGGGCCAGCAGCCGCGGUAAUACGUAGGUGGCAAGCGUUAUCCGGAUUUAUUGGGUGUAAAGGGCGUGUAGGCGGGAAUGCAAGCCAGAUGUGAAAUCCGCGGGCUUAACCCGCGAACUGCAUUUGAAACUCUUGGUCUUGAGUGCCGGAGAGGUAAUCGGAAUUCCUUGUGUAGCGGUGAAAUGCGUAGAUAUAAGGAAGAACACCAGUGGCGAAGGCGGAUUACUGGACGGUAACUGACGGUGAGGCGCGAAAGCGUGGGGAGCAAACAGGAUUAGAUACCCCUGUAGUC